UCGUGGUACCCACUGCUUAUGGACCCAAACCUGGGUGAUCUAUCCUUGACUAGGAUGAAGAUUGGGUGAAACUAAGUGGAGGUCUGAACCGACUGAUGUUGAAAAAUUAGCGGAUGAGUCGUGGUUAGGGUUGAAAUUCCACUCAAACCUAGAGCUAACUAGUUCUCCCUAAAAUGCAUUGAGGCGCAACAAUUUACUGGACCAUCUAGGGGUAAAACAUUGUUUCGGUACGGGCCGCGAGAGAGGUACCAAAUUGCGGCAAACUUUGAAUACUAGAUUACCCUAAUGAAAGGGGUAAAGGUCAGCCAAUGAGACGAUGGGGAAUAAGCUUCAUCGUCAAGAGGGGAAAAACCCAGAUCACCAACUAAGGCCCUCAAAUGACCACUCAGUGAUGAAGGAAGUACGAGUGCAAAGACUGCCAAGAGGUUUUCCUAGAAGCAAUCAAUCUUGAAAUAGUGUGUAAUAUCUCAUUGAUUGAGCGAUCUUGCAUCGAAGAUGAACGAGACUAAGCGAUAUGACGAAGCUAUGGUAUUUAAAAAUACAUCGGUAGGGGAGCAUUCCCCUCAGAGGAAAGCACUAGCGCGAGUAGGUGUGGACGAAGCAGAAGUGAGAAU
rnacentral:ncRNA from 1 species